UUAUAAACCGAUGAACGCCGGCUGACUCAUUGUCACGUUCCGCCUGAGCCGAGCGUGCAAGCGAUAGAGAGGCGCGAUCGGCCUAAGCGUUCGGCUUGUGACGCAUCUAUCUCUCUCCCGCUCACGUCAUCACGUGAAAUUAUCGUCCGUAAACCGACGUUACAGACAGCUACCCUUUUUUAUUAUCGGUUUAGGUUUAACGUCACGUUGAAAUUGAGGCCACACGCGACAUUAGAACACGGAUACUGGGGAAGGGAUCGACCGUGGCCUAUUGUCAGGAAUCGUGACUCACAGGAAACCAUGGAACAUGGGCCAGGAUUCGAACACAGGUUCUAUGGAAUAAAAGUCCUGUGUCUUACCACUGCAAAACCUUGCUUCAUACAUAUACCUUAUUUAAAAAUAAAAAUGAAGAUACCUAAAAGUUUUCAGGAUAAGACACGUAUUUCUAAAGACAUAUAUAUUCUAAUUUGUACAAUACUACUAACCAACACAUUUCAGUAGCCACCAAGUCAAUCUUUAAACUUUAAAAAAACUAUAAAAAUAAAUGAGCUAUUGUCCUGAGUUGGUCCCGCGGAGUGUACCUGGGAGACACGGACUGCUCCUCCGGCAGUCUGGCGGGCACGGACACCGCCGGCCGGGCGGACGCCGCGCUGUGGAAGGACUCCUCCGAGGACAGCGAGCCGGGGGCCGCGAGCAUGGCGGGGGAGGGCCCCACCCCCACGGGCCCCCGAGCCCCCUCCGCCCGCCCCACGCGCUCCGCCGCGUCGCUGAAGCUGCGGAGGAGCUCCACGUGGGACAGCCACUGCUGCGGGGACAUCUGCUGGCCGGCGCUCCGCCCCAGCGCGUCCGCCGCCGACGUGAGCGGGCCUGCCGGACCACCGCCCGUCAGCUUCUCGACCGCCCUUCAGGACUCCUUGCUGCUGAGCCGAAGGUCCCCGGUUCGAUUUCCGAUCAGAGUUCAAAACUGGAAGCUGGGUAGCCCCUUCAACUGUACACCAGAGAAGGCAACGCCCAUCCACUACAGAAUCUCCUUGUCGCAGCAUUAUCUAGGGUGACAAUGUUCACGACGUAACUUCAGGAUUCAUCAUCCUUGCGAUACAGCAAUUAUGUUGAUUACACGUUGUAUACAAGAGCAACUCUUUACACUCGUCCAACUCCUGUGGCCAGUGACAAAGUCGCGACGACAAAGUGCCUCACAAACAGAUACUGCUACCCUUCGUCUCCACUCCAGAUACUGCAGGGCGUAGCAGCUGGGUAGGGGUGGUAGGGAUACAGCCCCCUUACAGUCCGAAUAAAAUUAAAACAUUAACAAAAAUGUUAAAUUGAUAUCACAGACAGGAAAUUUUUCAUCUGAGAAAAAAUAAUUAAAUUAACAGACAUAUCAAAAUUUAAAAUUGUAAAAAAAAAAAACAAUAAAAGUGUGUUGGAAAUGUAAAAUAAGAUCGGCAUGAAAAGAUACUUUCAAUGAUACACGGUAGACAUAGAUACUGAGAAUUUGAAGCAAAGUGGACGAGCAUGCGGAAUACGUGCCUGUGGCUUCCAUUACGUUGUCUUCCUGGACAGUGCUGCCAUCCUCCACGGUAGACGUCCGUGCGACGGGGAUGGAGUCUGCGUUCAGCAGCACGCACGGCUCGCCCUCCGUCGCGACGGCUGCACAGCGACACGGAGGAUUUCCCUGAAAGUGGACACUUUGCCGAAGCGCCCGGUCCAGAGGCGCCACACGCUCGAACGCUCGGACGCUCGGACGCUCGAAGAGACGCGGCACUCACUCUGAAUGCGGACCAGCUCCAUGCCGUCGUCGAUGGACAGCCGGCUCCGCAUGAAGCUGAUGCCCAGCUUGGAGAAGUGCUCCAGGUCAGACUCCAUCAGCAGGCGGAAGAAGCCGCCCGCCUUCCACGCCUUCAGCACCCCGAACUGCUCCAGCUGGGGGCAACGCGGGACCCCCGUCAACACCCCCGGUCCGCAACACUCGGCUCCCUCCGUCCCUCCCUCCGUGCCGUGUGACGAGACCACGAGCUCCCGCGUCCGCAACACGAGCCUUCCGACAGCACGUCCUGUGUCAUACGAGACUUCUCGCAUCAUAGACCGUCAAUCUCUAAACUUGGUAUUUUCCACAAAUAUUCAUAAUAUAGAAUAUUUAUGCCAGCAAAACCAAGAGAGUUGUAAUUUUCGAACUAAAAGCCAGGUAAAUGAAAACUUCUUUAGAUAAGUAAUUUUUUAUAUGAAAGUAAAAUUUAAAUUGAUAAAUAAUUUUGACUUACUGUAGAAAGUGUUAACAUUGUUAAUAAAGAUCGCAGGCAUUCGCAGCCAUUGUGUGGGAAUUGCUUGGCCUUCGGGCUGCAACUCAAUAACAUAUUUUUUUUGUUUACAUUAUAAAAAAAAAUAUGAAAAAAAAAAUGAUGGUUGGUCACCUUGCUUAAUUGGAGCGUACUUUAUUUUUCUUAUCGCCAAUC